GACGUAGGGCGCGAGCGUUGUCCGGAUUUAUUGGGCGUAAAGAGCUCGUAGGCGGCUUGUCGCGUCGACUGUGAAAACCCGUGGCUCAACCAUGUGGUCUGCAGUCGAUACGGGCAGGCUAGAAUUCGGUAGGGGAGACUGGAAUUCCUGGUGUAGCGGUGAAAUGCGUAGAUAUCUGGAGGAAUACCGGUGGCGAAGGCGGCGUUCUGGACCAUUACUGACACUGAAUCGCGAAAGCUAGGGGAGCAAACGGG
rnacentral:rRNA from 1 species